rnacentral:rRNA from 1 species
UGGUGCCAGCAGCCGCGGUAAUUCCAGCUCCAAUAGCGUAUAUUAAAGUUGUUGCAGUUAAAAAGCUCGUAGUUGAAUUUCGGGACCAAAUUGUCGGUCGUGCCUCGGUACGUACUGGCGUUAUUGGUUCCUCCCUUCUGAAGAACCACGAUGUCAUUAAUUUGGUGUCGUGGGGAAUCAGGACUGUUACUUUGAAAAAAUUAGAGUGUUUAAAGCAGGCUCGCGCUUGAAUACAUUAGCAUGGAAUAAUGAAAUAGGACGUUUGAUUCUAUUUUGUUGGUUUCUAGGAUCGACGUAAUGAUUAAUAGGGAUAGUUGGGGGCAUUAGUAUUCAAUUGUCAGAGGUGAAAUUCUUGGAUUUAUUGAAGACUAACUACUGCGAAAGCAUUUGCCAAGGAUGUUUUCAUUAAUCAAGAACGAAAGUUAGGGGAUCGAAGACGAUCAGAUACCGUCGUAGUCUUAACCAUAAACUAUGCCGACUAGGGAUCGGAUGAUGUUAAUUUUUUAAUGACUCA